rnacentral:pre_miRNA from 1 species
CUCUUUCUUCACUUGAGGGCCGAAGACUUGAAAGCUUGUAUAAAGGUUAAAUACAAGCUCUCAAGUCUUCGGACCUCAAGUGAAG